rnacentral:misc_RNA from 1 species
UGCGGCUGGAACACCUCCUUUCUAGAGACAUAAAAAAGACCUAGGGUCUUACUCUCGCUGUUAAUUCAAAAAAAAAAGACUUAAAAUACAGAGUCUCGUAGCUCAGCUGGUUAGAGUACUACACUGAUAAUGUAGGGGUCGGCAGUUCGAGUCUGCCCGGGACUACUUUUAACAAGUAUUUUAAGAGAAAAAGGAAAUUUUAGAAGUUGAGUCCUUGAAUUUUGAAAUUUGAGAUUUAAAUUUUGAAAUUGAAAACGGGGGAUUAGCUCAGCUGGCUAGAGCGCCUGCCUUGCACGCAGGAGGUCAUCGGUUCGACUCCGAUAUUCUCCACGAAAAAAAUGAUAAUUAUCAAUUGAUAAUUGUUAAUUGAUUAAAGUUCAUUGACAUAUUGAGAUAAACAUACAAACAAGUAGAAAGAACACAAAAAAAUGUGAAUUUUAAAUUGUGAAUUAUGAAUUGAUUCAUCAUUUAUAAAUUAACAUUUAUAAUUAAAAAAGAAACAAUAAGCAAAAUAAGGGCGUAUGGGGGAUGCCUAG